CAGAAGGAAGAGGAACACAGGUGUCAUCACCUGACUGAGGUUCUGACCAAUGGAACACAGGUGGAAGUUGUUGGAGAAAACGCCUUAAAACGGGAACAGCUGCAAUAUCAGCUGCAAGACAUUCUUUUACCUUUCCACCUGCCUGGGACCUGGAUGUGGAACUGCAGUGUGCCUUGCAAACUUGAAGAGAACGACCUUGAUAAUGGAUGGUGAAGCAAGAAAGAGGAGCCUGAGGCUGAGCGCAGUGACUCACACCUGUAAUCCCAGCACUUUGG
rnacentral:lncRNA from 10 species